rnacentral:rRNA from 1 species
CCUACGAGGGGCAGCAGUGGGGAAUAUUGGGCAAUGGGCGCAAGCCUGAUCCAGCAACGCCGCGUGAGGGAAGAAGGCUUUCGGGUUGUAAACCUCUAUCCUGAGGGACGAAGAAAGUGAUGGUACCCUAGGAGUAAGCCACGGCUAACUACGCGCCAGCAGCCGCGGUAAUACGGAGGGGGCAAGCGUUAUGCGGAUGUAUGGGGUGUAAGGGGGGAGUAGGCGGGAAGGCAAGCCAGAUGUGAAAGCGCAGGGCUCAACACUGAGCCUGCAUUUGAAACUGUUUUUCUUGAGUGCUGGAGAGGCAGUCGGAAUUCCGAGUGUAGCGGUGAAAUGCGUAGAUAUACGGAGGAACACCAGUGGCGAAGGCGGAUUGCUGGACAGUAACUGACGCUGAGGCGCGAAAGCGUGGGGAGCAAACAGGAUUAGAUACCCCUGUAGUC